rnacentral:rRNA from 1 species
ACACGUGAUUCAGAGUUUGAUCCUGGCUCAGGACGAACGCUGGCGGCGUGCUUAACACAUGCAAGUGGAGCGACGAACCAGGGCUUGCCCUGGGGCAAAGCCGCGAACGGGUGAGUAACACGUGGGUAACCUGCCCCGAUGACCGGGACAACCCGAGGAAACUCGGGCUAAUACCGGAUGAGCUCCUACCACAGAAGUGGUUUGAGGAAAGGAAGCUUCGGCCUCCGCAUUGGGAUGGGCCCGCGGCCCAUUAGCUUGUUGGUGAGGUAACGGCUCACCAAGGCUUCGAUGGGUAGCUGGUCUGAGAGGACGAUCAGCCACACUGGGACUGAGACACGGCCCAG